rnacentral:lncRNA from 1 species
GAUGGGCAUCAGAGAUGGCACAAUCAAGGAUUCACCAACCUCAAGCUUCAGCACUAAGAAAAGUAACUUUGCCUCUAGUUCAACAAAGACCAUUGGUCUUACAACAAAAAGAGUCCCAAAUUAGCCUUCUAGACAAGUUCGAUGGUAUGCAUUGUCGUAAUACAUAAAGUCUUAUUUGAGAAUGCUCGAGGAACCUGGCAAUGGAAGAAAGAAUGGAAAUUGUAAUAACAAAAUUUUAAUUCUAAUAGAAUACUAACAAUGCUCUAAUUAGACCAUAAUAAUGCUAAACAAGCUUAAACAAAUUCAAAAAAAAUUCAAACAAAUUUCAAACAAAUAAUAAGAAUUCUUAAAAAAAUAUUAAAAGUAUCACAAAUAUCAAUCAAAUAUAUUUCAAUUCAAUCUUAAUUUAAUUCUAGUUAAAAUCCUAUUGAACUUCAUUCAAAAUUUAGGCCAAAACUAAUUGAAUCUUAAAUCCUAAUAAAAUCCUAAAUCCUAAAUCAAACCUAAACAAAUCCCAAUCAAAUCCUAAACCAAAUUCUAACCAAAUUCUAAAUCAAAUCCUAAAUCCUAAAUCAAACCCUAAUCAAAUUCUAAUCUAAAUCUUAAAUUCUAAACCAAACCCUAAUCCAAAUCCUAAAUCCUAAACCAAACCUUAAUUCAAAUCCUAAAUCCUAAACCAAAUCUUAACUAAAUUCUAAAUCCUAAAUCAAAUCCUAACCAAAUCCUAAAUCAAACCCUAGUUAUUCCUAUAAUAGAUUUAAACCUCAAUAAUUAAUGAUUAAACUGUUGAUUUUAACUCAAAUUUUGUAAAAUUCUUAAAAAAUAAUUUAAAAACAACCAAAAAAAAAUUGAAAAGGAUCGGAGAUACCAAAUUGACGAUAACCUCAAAAAUGUGAUUGGGUAUUGACUGGCUUCCUUCUCCAAUCUUGAUGCCAAUCUUACACAGCUAAUAUCUCUCCUUUACAUUGUUCGAUUGAUUUUAAAAUUCUCAUACAUAUACAAAAUCAAGUCUAAUAUCUUUUCAUGUAAGUUUCUCUCCAAUCCAACUAGUACAUUGCAAGAAAGCUUAAAAAUCUCUAUUAGACCUAAAAUUCUACUUUCUAAGACUUUGACUCAUUUAAACCUCAAUAUUCCUUAAUUCAACUAUUAGAUCGAGUUAAAAUUUAUAAUACAUAUUGAAUACAACUAUAAACAUAAAUUCACAAAAUUUCACCCAUAAAUCUAACACAAAACUCUUGAAAUCAUCCAAAAUGUGAACUCCUAUUUUAUCUCAUAAAACCCAAGUCAUCUGAAACUAAUCUUGACUUUGCAAAGCUAUUACAAAGUUAUAAAAACUCUAAAUCAUCCAAAAUCAAUGUUUAUAGAAACCCUAUUCAAUUUGCUAUCAAACUCCAUCCUUUGAUCUGCAAAAGAAUCCCGAAAUCGUCAUCAAGACUCGAUUUUGUGCCCCAAGGUCUGAUUUCGACCCUGGUUUACAACCGGCCCUCUUCGAGUAUCAAUAUCAAAUUUUCUAAGUAAAUUUUUUCUAGAAUUUACUCUUAACUUCCUUCUAAAGAUGACUUUAUUAUUUAUUUUUCCAAUCUACUUUGAUUUGCCUUACUUAUGAUGCUAUAAAGUAAGUAGAAGUCACCUUUCUAAAAGGUAGCAUUGGUACUUUUUAAUUUUUCUACCCCUUUGACUAUUAACUAUAUUUCUAAGAUAAUUUGUUCUAAUUCUUUGAACUAAGAUCUCCUAAAUUAUAAUAAUCUCCACACUCUUUCACCUAUUAGUCGUGUUACAUCAUGACAUCCAACCCUCCUGAAUCUGUACAUCCUCUGGCAUGUGCCAACGAUUCUUCAAUUUAUUGAUGUAGAAUGUUCUUCAUCUUGGUACAAUUCUUGAUCUUUAAUAUGCUCUUCUAUUCCAAUCUCAACAUCUUGUACUGGAGUUUGUUCUUCAUCAAAAUAAAUGACUUCAUCUCUUUGUUUAAAUAACUUGAUUUGUUUGCCUGCUAUGAGUACCUUUAAUUCUAUACCAUCAAGUUCUUGUAAUGAAUAUGUUCCAUUGUUGUGUGCCUUUUUGACAAUAUAAGGUCUAAACUAUCACUUUGGAAACUUCUUCAUAGUGCUAUACUGAUUGUCUAAGCUACUAUUAUAAACUAGUAUCCAAUCACCAUCUUCAAUAGCCUUAGGUCAUAGUCGAUAUUUUUUAUCAAAUCUUUCUUUAUUCUUUUCUCUUGCUUUGUUCAAUUUUUUUAUUGCUAUUUCAAUAUCAUUGGGUCUUCUUUCUAGUUUUUGAAUCCAUAAUGCUUAAAGUCCUUCUCUAUUGAGAUCAUUCUUCGAAGGCAAUACACCCCAUGUAGGUAUUACAUCUUCUAUUAGCAUUAUUAGUUUUUGUCCAUAUAUUUAUUCAAAAGGCAUAUAACCUGUUACCAAACUAUGAGUUGUAUGAUCUACCCAUAUACAAAUGGUAGUAGUCUAAGCUAUAUAUGUAUUUUUCCAUUGCAUGCCUUUACUAAUGCCUUAACAAUAGGUGAAUGCCUACGCUCACUUUUACCAUUACCUUCUGGAUUAUAUGCUGUUGUUAAAGAAAGUUUAAUUUCUAUUCUAUUAAAGAAUUCUCGUGCUUCUUUUGCAUCCAAUUCACCCCUAUCCGCUAUAUUUUUUUCAAUACAACCAUAGCAAUAAAUAACUUUUUUUAAUAGAAAUCGGUAUUUUCCUUUAGUAUCCUUUGUUCUUAAUACUCGUCCUUCAAUCAUAUUUGAUAAAUCUUCUUGUGCAAGUAUCAAAUACUUCAUUUGUCUAAGUCCCAUAGGCAUUGCCACUAAAUCCACCACCCACUUGUAAUGUAAAGCCAACAGAUAUGUUUGAUGUAAUCCAUCUCGAUGCCAAAUAUUUGAAUAUACUUGAUAAAUCUCACAAGAUUCUAUAAAUUUUGCUAUGACUUUGUACAUUUCCUUCUACCAAUAUUUUUCUCUUAACUUAGUGAAUGUUGUCCAAAUAUCUCGAUGCCCUACCCAUAAAUUUUCACGAAAUUCUUUAAUAAUUCUUUGUUGAGCUUCUAAACUACAUAUCACCCUUUGUAGUACUUCUCUUCUCUUUUUUGGAUGCUUCCAUAAAUAUCCAUCAUGUAAAAAAUAUCCAUAGGCUUUCUUACGGAUUUUCAUAAAUUCUUGAUCCAUCCAACUUUUUUGUCACUUUAAUGUGCUUAAAUACUCUCCAACAUCUUUCCAUUCAUUUUCAUAUAAAUCUCUUAAAAAUAUUUUCAAUGGUAUAUUAAAAUAUACACCCUUUUUCUUUGAUAAUGCAUUGGUAUAAAAUUUUGUAUCCACAUUAUCUUCUAAAUCAAUCAUCUUUUCUUCAUCAUUAUACCUUGCUCUUAAUAACAUAUCUGUAACUGAAUUUUCUAUCCCUACAAUAUGUUUAAAUUUUAGAUUCAUAGAUUUGAUAUAUGCUAUCCACCUCAACAUAGCAAUAUCAGGAGUUGAACAACUUGUAAUCAUACCUAACAAAGGUAGACAAUCUGUUUCUAUAACUACUAAUGUCCCAAUCAAAUACUCUUUUUCAUUUUUCAUAGCUAUUACUCCACCUCAUAAUUCUCUUUUGAUUUGCGCAUAUGCUCUUUGCUUGGAAUUCAAUACCUUUGCUCCAAAACUUACUAAAUAUCUAUUUCUUUGUUCAUCAUCUUGUCCAACUAUCCAACCAAUUCCAAUUGGACUUGCAUCAACUGUUGAUACUACAAGCCUUCCACCUUCAUAAUUUAUUUUCAUAAAAGUUGGAGAUGAAGAAAGAAGUUCCUUCAAUUUUUCCACAGCUUUUCGUUGUUCUUCUUUCCAUUGAAAUUUUUGAUUCUUUCUUAACAACUCAUACAAUAGAUCUGCUAUAUGUGCAAAGUGAGAUAUCCACGUAUGAUACAAAAUAUAUGCUCCUAAAAAUCUUCUCACUUCCGUUGUAUUUAUAUAUUCUUUCAUCUUUUUAAUAAUAUCAAUCUUUUGUAUACUUGGCUUACGUCCAUAUGAACCACACAUGUGUCCUACCAUGAAAAUUUCUUUUACUCCAAACAUUGAUUUUGCCCCCCGAUAAGGUUAAAUGAACUUCUUCCAAUCUUUUCAAAAUCUUCUCACAAUCUUCAAUAUGAUCUGCCACAAACUUCUUACAUCCCAUUGAAUCUAAAGUCUCAUCUUUUCUUUCUUCUUCACAUCCUUUAAUAGGUAUAUCAUCUAAAAAAGGUAUUAUUAUCUUUGGAAUAAAAUCUCUUAAUACCUUAUGCAUUCCAUUCAUCAUAUGUACUACAUAAUUUGUAGCCUCUUGUGAUAAUGUGCACAUUUUAACUAAUCCUAAUGGUAUCUUCAUAGUUGUCUAAUCCCUAAUUUAUAUUGCCAAUUAAAAUUGAUCAUAAUCUUAAUAAAGAUCACCCAUUAACUAGAUAGCUCUUCUAGCAAAUCCUUCUACAAAUUCAUCCACAAUCGGACUUGAAUCCAUAUUUCUAAUAGUCACUUUAUUUAUAGGUUGCAUAUCUUGUAUAAAUCUCAUCAUUCCAUUUUUCUUUGGUAUUCUAAACUAUCGAUUAGAAUAAGGUGCCAUAGAUGGUUCCAAAAUUCCCAUUUUAAUCUUUUUAUUGAGUAAAUCUACUAAUAUAGACAAAUGUACUCUUGGUACUGGAAUUGGUCCUAAAUUCCAUGGUUCAUGAAGAAUAGUAAAAAUAACCAUGGGUGCUACAAUAUUUGGAUCAACACACCCAAUUUCAUGUGACUCAAAUACAAAAGCCUUUCUAUGACGUGAAAGCAUAUUUCUAAAAUAUUUUUCUUCACAUUUUGUCAAAAAUCCAUCACCUCCAACAUUUAAUCCAUCUAAAAUAACGUCCAUAAAUUUAUGCCCUAUCUUCCUUAGAUCUCUUAAAUUUGGUUGUAUCAAUGCUCCACUUAUCUUUUCUUCACAAUCAGAUGGUAGUAGCAAAGCCACUGGUUUGACCUUUUUUACUAUUGAUUUAUACUUAGUUUCAAUACAUACCUCUUUGCGACUUAAAUUUUUUAUUAAUCCUUAAAUUUCAUUAUAAAAUUCUUUAGAAUACACAUUAAUAACUCUAUUCUCUAAUUAUAAUUCAUAUUAUAAUAGAUAAUUUAAUUCCUUCAUAGUAUCUAUAAAACCUACUUCUUCAUAUGUUCUUGAAAUAAAUUCAUUUUCAACCAAUUCUCCAUUUUCUUUCAAAUUUUGCUCAAUAUUUUUAAUAUAACAUUUGUCCCUCCUUUUCAUCUUGUCAAUAGUUUUAAAAGUCAAUACAUAAUCUUGUAUUAUUUCAAUAAGUCCAGUAGAUAAUAUUUCUCUUCUAAAUUAAGCAAGAGCUUUUCUUUCUCUAAUCCAUUGCAACCCCACCUUACAAUGGUGUGCGAUAAAAACCCUCAAAGUCUUCAAAUUUCUCAUUUGAUAAUGGCUUCUCUCUCAACUUAUCAUGAUUUCUCUCAUGAUUAGUACAAACAGUUAAAAAUUGAACUGCUUUCAUUCCAUCUUGGCUUCUUAUUCUUGCAUAGGCCAAACCGUCAUUUAUUACUUUUGUUUCUAUUUGUAUAGAAAUAAUAUAUAGUUGUUCCAAUAUAAUAGGAUAUGUAGACAUGUCUUAUAUAAAGAAAUUUUAUUCAUGAAUAGCAUCUUCUAUUGUCACCUUGAUAUUUGGAUAUACUCCAUACAAAUCUCCCUUUGAAUUAUUUGCAAUUCUUAUCAUCCACCCAUGUUCAGUAUCAAUAGGCCAUUUUUCCUUGUUAUACAAUUCUUUUGACAUCAAAUUGAUUUCAGAACCAUGAUCAAUGAAUGCUUCAAUUAGUUCUUUUAAAUUUUCUAAUUUUAUUAAAGUCUCCAUCAUAGCCCUUGCUUAAUGACUUUUAGAAUAAUGACUAGAAGCUUGAAUGAUAUCUUCUUUUUCUACAAAUCUUAUUCGGAAGACAUCCCCAAAAUUUUAUAUUUCUUCUUCUUCAUCUUCAUUUCUUUCCAUUGCUCUUGUUUCUUGUACAUUUGAUAUCAUAGAGUCUCCUAUAGAUUGUCAUUUUCUCUUUAUUGUAUCAAUAAUAACUUCAUGAAACUCACGCUUUGCAAUUCUUAGAAUUUUACUAAUUGUGAAUUCAACCUUUUCACUUAAAAUCCGCUCCUCCAAUACCUUCUUCAAAUUUGUAGUAGCUUCAAUAUCUGAUUGUAAUUUAUAAGCAAGAGCCUUUGCUUUUUUUUUUUUAAGUUCCCUUCUCUUUGUAGAAAUAUUCUCUAUUAUCUCUUUAUGAAUAAGAUUCUUUUGUUGUCUUGUUUUUUCUCCCCUUGUAGUUCUUUUUGAGGGGCCUUCAUUAUUUUCAUCUCUCUUUCAUUUUUUUUCUAUUAAUGUUUCAUGCUGACUCCUUGUAAUAUGAGCAUGUACAGAUAAUCUAUCUACUGGAUCAUCUCACCUAGUAAUUUGUCAAAUAUUAUUAUCAACACGUUUUAAAUCAUCUCUAGUAAAAUUUCUCCUUUUAGCAUAACUCAUUGCACUUGUCUACAAAGAACUAGAUUCUCCUGGAAACUCAAGAUUUAUACUUAAAUAUCUACUAGAAUCUUCUUCCACCCAAUAUGUUGAUGCUUCAUUGCUUAAGAUUGUAUGCACUUUAAAAGUAUCUCCAACAAAUAACUUCAUUCCUCUUUUACCAAAAUUUGUUUAUAAUUUUUCUUCACUUUCUUUUGAGUGUAUCAUACCAUCUUUAAAAAAAACAACUCCUUUACGUAAUGCCUGUAUAAAAUCUUCACAUUCCCUCCUUAAGUGAUCGAUGCUAUCACACCACAUGCACCUAUGUACUACACCCUCCAUUGGCCCUAGUCUUUGUUUUGUUGAUAUUUUUGAUGAUUGACCCUUCACUUUAAGUUUUAUAAAUUUUAUUUACAAAUAUCUCAUCCUACAUAUAAUUUCACCAAUUCCUAUUUCUUCUUUCUUUGAUGUAGCCAUUAAAGGUUGAAUCAAAGAUGUCGGAUGGAUAUUAGAUACUUUUACCUAAGAUGCUUGUAAUGAUCUUUGGUCACCCCUCAUAUCUUUUUUUCUUUCUCUUUUUGUAAAUGACCUUACAACCUCCUCUAUCUUUUUCUAAUUUGUUGUCAAUCCUUCAUCUUCUUCUUUAUCUUCAAGCAUGAUUUCCAAGUUCUCUUGUAACUUUCCAUCAGCUGCUUGAAGAAAGAGCUCCACCUUACUUGGAUCCAAUAAUUGUCUUUCUUUCUUUGAUAAAGAAGAAUAUUACUUUUCAAACUUCCUUAAAAAUUUUGUUGCUAGAAGAUCCUUCUCUGGCCUUUCAAUCCAUUCAAAAAAAGACCUUUUUGUAAUCCUAUCACUAUCUUCCAAGAAAAACUCAUUCUCCAAUGCUUGAGAAAAUUUCUCCCAUGUACCUCCAAAAUAUUAUAUAAGAUACUUUAUUUGAUUUCUUAUCUCUUAUGCAAAGGCUAAUUCAAAUAAUUGAACCAUCUCUUUAUCUGAAAUAUGCUUCAAUUCUAUUUCCUUUAUAUGACAUCUUAAAUAUUUUGUAAUAUCAUUUCCUUCAAAUUGAUCGAUCUUGUCCACAACCGCUUGUAAUGCUUUGUUAGCCAUAUUAUCUUUGUGAUCUUUAACCUAUCGCUGUUGCUAUUGCAUGAAUAAGGCCAAAGCUUCAAACAUGCUUGCAGAGUUAUGAUCAAAAUACAUACCUUGUCCUCCAAUCAAAGCUCUUCUUCCAACUCUACUUGAAGCACCACUUCCAACUCUACUCGAAGCACCAUCAAAAACUCCUCCUUCCAUUCUCCUUAAAUUUCUUUUCUAAAAUUCAAAUAAUCCAAAAAAUAAACCAAAUUCCUUCCACCUCAAGCAUUUCAUGUCGGAUUCACCAAAUAUAUUGUAAUAUGUAGUCUUACUUGAGAAUGCUCGAGGCACCUAGCUAUGGAAGAAAGAAUGGAAAUUAUAAUAAAAAAUUUUUAAUUCUAAUAGAAUACUAACAAUACUCUAAUUAGACCAUAAUAAUACUAAUCAAGCUUAAAAAAAUUCAAAAAAAACUCAAGGAAAUUUCAAACAAACAAUAAGAAUUCUUAAAAAAAUAUUAAAAGCAUCACAAAUAUCACUAAAAUAUAUCUCAAUUCAAUCUUAAUUUAAUUCUAGUUAAAAUUCUAUUGAACUUCAUUCAAACUUUAGGCCAAAACUAAUUAAAUCUUAAAUCCUAAUAAAAUCCUAAAUCCUAAAUCAAACCCUAAACAAACCUUAAAUCAAACGCCAAUCAAAUCCUAAAUCAAAUCCUAAUCAAAUCCUAAAUCAGAUCCUAAUCAAAUCCUAAUCCAAAUCUUAAAUCCUAAAUCAAACCUUAAUCCAAAUUUUAAACCCUAAAUCAAAUCCUAAUUCAAAUUCUAAACCCUAAACCAAAUCCUAACUAAAUCUUAAAUCCUAAAUCAAAUCAUAAUCAAAUCCUAAUCCAAAUCCUAAAUCCUAAAUCAAAUCUUAAUCCAAAUCCUAAAUCCUAAAUUAAACCCUAAUUCAAAUCCUAAACCCUAAACCAAAUCCUAAUCAAAUUCUAAACCAAAUCCUAAACCCUAAACCAAACCUUAACCAAAUUCUAAACCAAAUCCUAGUUAUUCCUAUAACAGAUUUAAACCUCAAUAACUAAUGAAUAAUCUAUUAAUCUUAACUCAAAUUUUGCAAAAUUCUUAAAAAAUAAUUUACAAACAAGCACAAAAAAAUUGAAAAGGAUCGGAGAUACCAAAUUGACAAUAACCUCAAAAAUGUGCUUGGAUAUUGACUGGCCUCCUUCUCCAAUCUUGAUGCCAAUCUUACAUAGCUAAUAUCUCUCCUUUGUACUA